GUAGCAUACCAUCUUGUUAAUGUUUAUAAUGUCUGAUCUCAAAAGCUAGUCAGGGCUGGGCCUGGUUAGUACUUGGAUGGGAGACCUCUGGGAAUACGAUGCCACA
rnacentral:rRNA from 1 species